AAGUCCCCACAUGGCGCCACAGGCCUGAUCUGAGAUCUCAGCUAUGGGUUCCUUGAAAUGGCUUUAGGAUUAGCCCAUGGCAUGGGUUUUGUGACAUGAUGGUCAAGGACACCCAGGACCACCAUGAAAAGGCUUCAAGCCUUUUUCCUGUCGCCAUCUCGGUAUUUAAUCUGACACCGCCAGGCAGCGAGAAGGGUUUACUCUUCCCCUUGCCGAGAAAGAGCACGAGAGAGGAGGAAAAGCAAAACAUUUACGUGGGGACAGGAGGGCUGGCUGCACAGGAAACCUGGACCAAACCUAAACUCCUGACAAAAGCCUUUAAUCUUUCUCACAUUCCUCAAGGCAUUCUCCUCCUGUAAUAGGACAUAUUCCUUUCAAGUAAAUCCUGAUAAGGGAAUUCUUUUUUUUCCUUUUUUUUUUUUUUUUUUUUUUUUACAGGAAAUGUAUAUCCUUGUAAGUCUAUCAUCUUAUUUACUUUGUGCGUUAUAGAUUUUAACUAAUUCACAGCCUUUCUUUUAUCAACCAGAACACAAAUUCCCCAGGCACCAGCACAAACAGAAACUUGCCCUUGCAAUGGGGACUUAAAACAAAGCAAAGCAAAACAAAACUCCAGCUCUGAGAAGUGCCAAAGUUUCUGUGCUGCCACCAGGCUCCUACCUGUGAGUGCCCAGCGACCAGUGGCACCCACGUUGGCUGGACCCCAGCUGAGCUGGGGCACCCCUGGACCCAGGUCAGGUCAACCAGAUCAGAUCAAAUUUCCCAUCCCCUCCUCCUCCUCCUCCUCCUCCAUCCUCUCCUUCAGAGCUUUGCUUUGCUUUUCUUGGUCUUACCCUUUGGGUUUUGCUCUCUGAAAACCCAAAGGAGAUGAUGAAAGGGGCAAAGGAAGAAGGUGUUAAAGGCACUUUAUAUCAGGAACGCAGGUAGGCCCACCCCAAACCUCUUCUAAUAAAUUAAAACGAUGGUUAGGAAAAGUAGAAAUGGGUUGUCAUGGUCACUGAGGUGACUGUGUGAAACACAUCUAACACUGAGCAGAGGUGAACACAGGGAAAACCCCGGCAUUUUGCCGCUGCCUCGGCCCUUGCCCCCGCCGCGUUGUCAUUUUGCAUUGCUCAGUACGUGGCAAAAAAGGAGUUGAGAAAACAAGAACCAGCCAGGCCGAGCCAGGAGUCUGAGGGCACCCGAACAAAAUUUUUGGAGUGUCCUUCAAAUGUAAAAAUAAAACAAGGAUUAUUAGCAGCAGUGGUGAGGGUGGCAACGCUACUUGUGCAAACAAAAGUCUGGGUGAAACCAAGCCUGAGGCUUAAGCCAGACACCAUAGGCGGCAGCGCUGAAAGUCAGAAAGCGAAAGGAAUCUCCUGUAAUCACUUAUUAAGUUGUUUCUUGUUUCAUAAGCUACGGGGAGAUCAAGUGCUCAGAUCUCUCUGCCAUUUUCCAUAGCCCCUUCCACACCAAGGGGACCGGCAGCGAUAUCAGCAGAUCCGAGGGGCCGCCCGCACUCUUCACAGGAAACGUGAACAUGAGUUGGAUGAGGAAGAAGAAAAUAGCCCUAUUAUUGUUAUUAUUAUUAUUAAUCUUGCAUACAGAUGCUGUUCCUGCAUCCCCCCUGUGAACUGCCCAGCUUCAGGGCUGGUGUGUCCGAUGGGCCUCCGGAAGAUGCACACGGUUUUGAGGCAGCAGCAUCACACUCUCUCAAAGCACUCCCCAAAGCAGGAUGUAAUAUUCUAUCUACAUACCGACCCCAUCCCCCUGUUUUACACCCAAUUUCAGCAGGGAAAAUGCUUUUUCUUUCACCUCCCCACAGCACAAGGCAGGGGGAUUUUCACCUGCGGGUGCAGGACUGGUGCAAGAGCCACCACCCAGCGUGACAACACCUCCGCCUCCCGUGUGGGGUUAAGUGAUGCAGAAGGCAUUGUGUGAAGGGCGAGGGUUUUUUUUUUUUCCUCUUAAUGAGUCUAAUCUGAUUAACAUCACCAUUCGCUCCCUUGUGUGGAAACAAUGUGGAGCCAAAUUUAGUAACUGUAGUUUAUGCCACAUCACCCUGGGUACCUUUGUUCAUAGUGCACAUCUGGCACUGCCAGCUUUAACUUUACCCUCAGCACCCUCCGUCCAUGCUGGCUCUCAGCACCAAUGGAGCACAGGCUUGACUGGGAUGCUAAAACAAUAAAAUUCAUAAAAUCGCCAACA